CGAACGGAUAUUAAUAUUCAUUUAUAUAGAUUUAUUAUAGUGUUGAUGUUGUCCUUUUACAGGCAAUAAAAUGAUAAACCGCUGUAGGAGCUUUGCAAACAGUAUGACAAAAAUGGCUGACAAUGCAAGCAACAUGCAAACGCCAUUUUCAGGAGAUGAUGCUAAAACUAUAAGCAACAACCAUUUGUUCAGCAAACAGUUUGGAAAACUACCAAAACAAGCACAAGACUUUCUUCUCAUGCAGCUGAAAAUGGCGAACAGAAAAAAAGAAGCAAUGAGAUUUACUACUAAUGAGAAGCUUUUGUGUUUGUCGUUAAUGAAAGACAGCCCACAGGGAUAUAUGGUGUUACAAAAAAUGUUUCAUUUACCAAGCAAAAGAACAUUAGCCCGAUUUGCAAGAAAUGUAAAAUUUGGUGUACGUGUUCAAGCACAAUCUUCGUAAAUAGGACGCAAAAUAAAUAAAUAUACCUACGGUCGAAUUGAGAACCUACUCCUUUUUUGAAGUCGGUUAAAAAGACACUGCUCGAUGUCGUUUGACGAAGUUGCACUGACACCCCAACUCACUUUUGUUACAAGAUUUUAUAAAAGACUUUGGAAACGACAUGAACUCAUAUUUGUGAUCAUGUUUUUUCGUGCUAAAAGUUGUGAUUUUCUUCAAACUGGCGCAGGCUAUUUCUUUUAAUAUUGUGAAAGUGCUACAGUAGCACAGCUUUUAAAAGGUAUUAUGUCCCAAAGUCGUACAAUCGGAUUUGAUACCAUUGGCAGCGGUGUGCGAGCUAGGGUCCGCGUUAAGAACCGCAGUUCUAGAAAUAGAGAACUAUCUAGCAAGUAGAGCUAUCGGACACAGAGCUGGCUGACUCCGGUCCGGGGACGGACGAACUACGAGGACGGACGAACUACGAGGACGGACGAACUACGAGGACGGACGAACUACGAGGACGGCGCGCUCUCCAGCUCCUACCCACCUGUGUGACGGAACACCGGGGUGGGUUUUAGUCAGUCUGACAGACCCUAGGCGAGGGGGUUCCAUGAAGAUUUCCUACCUUGGGGUCAAAAAAAGACAACGCAAAAUGGAAGCGAAUGGUCUUACCUAUUUAUUAACGAUGGAACUGUUGAGAUAUCGGGUCAACACUGGAGUGUAGUGUAUGAUCUACACUUCUACAGCAUUUGCUUACAAGUAUAAGAAACAAUUACUCACAGAAGAUAUGGUUUUUACUGCCAUAAUUGCCACUUAGGAGGACAUAAUAGCUAUUCCUUCUGCAGGUAGCCAGAUACUCCUGCAGCGGGUGACGCCGUCAGCAGAAAUACAACUGCGGAACCGGCAGAAUUCAUCUGUUAACUCGUCGAUAGGACUGUCCUUAGAUUCGACGAGGGCAAGAAAAGCAAAAUUCAAGCAAUUCGCUUUUUGGCAAAGAAUUAUAUUUACACAUGAAGGGCGCUAAGAAAUAAGUGGAAGAGAAUGCCACGCGGCAUUAAAUCCCAGCCACAGUUUGAUUGUAUACAUAAAGUGUGUUUUUUUUAAAUAGAAAGUUUUGAUAAAAAUUCCAAAUUAUUGUUUGAAAAUUAUGACAAUAUUAAAUAGCAGGGCGAUGGGCGAGUGACUAACUGAUUUAUUGUUUUGCAACUGUGUUUGAAACGAAUGAAAGAAAUGAUAACUAAUGAAAUACAGAUAAGGAACAGGAAUUUACGACAAUUACAAACAAAACCUCCAAACAUACGAGAUUUGUUAAGAUUAUUCAUUCCACGAAGUGAUCAAUUCAUCAUUACUA